AACGAACGCUGGCGGCAGGCUUAACACAUGCAAGUCGAACGCCCCUUACGGGGAGUGGCAGACGGGUGAGUAACGCGUGGGAAUCUACCGUGCCCUGCGGAAUAGCUCCGGGAAACUGGAAUUAAUACCGCAUACGCCCUACGGGGGAAAGAUUUAUCGGGGUAUGAUGAGCCCGCGUUGGAUUAGCUAGUUGGUGGGUUAAAGGCCUACCAAGGCGACGAUCCAUAGCUGGUCUGAGAGGAUGAUCAGCCACAUUGGGACUGAGACACGGCCCAAACUCCUACGGGAGGCAGCAGUGGGGAAUAUUGGACAAUGGGCGCAAGCCUGAUCCAGCCAUGCCGCGUGAGUGAUGAAGGCCUUAGGGUUGUAAAGCUCUUUCACCGAUGAAGAUAAUGACGGUAGUCGGAGAAGAAGCCCCGGCUAACUUCGUGCCAGCAGCCGCCGUAA
rnacentral:rRNA from 1 species